UCGUGCAUUGCUAUAGAGUAAAGAAAUCAUCUGAUAAAAAUUUAGGCAUAUUGUAUUUGAGGAAAGAUAUUUAGUCUUGGUUAUUAACUAGUAUGGAGCACGUUGUUGCCUUCUUGAAAGACUUUAUUCGUUUCUGCUGCUCUGAAGAAUGUGGUUCCUUUCAAGGGCUCCAGAACCAUUUAAAAGUGGGAGCUUGCCCACACGAAUCGAAAUGCCAUAGUUGUUGCUAAACAUUAUGCCUCAAUUGUCAUGCAUGCAUAACAAUUAUGCCUUAAUUGCCAUGCAUCAAUUAAUUAAGUAGUACUUUGUAAUACAUGUAUAACAAUGCCUGGUUACUGAUUACCAGCAAAUUAGAAAGCUAGUGUUAAGUGUGUUCCGAUCAGUACAGGAAUACUGAAAAGUAGUGGGGCACUAUAGCCAAAAAGGUUAUUAUAGUAAUGACAUUUACCGAAAUUUACCUAAUAGUCUAAUACUACCAUA
rnacentral:misc_RNA from 1 species